rnacentral:rRNA from 1 species
CCUACGGUAGGCAGCAGUGGGGAAUAUUGCACAAUGGGGGAAACCCUGAUGCAGCGACGCCGCGUGAGUGAAGAAGUAUUUAGGUAUGUAAAGCUCUAUCAGCAGGGAAGAAAAUGACGGUACCUGAUUAAGAAGCCCCGGCUAACUACGUGCCAGCAGCCGCGGUAAUACGUAGGGGGCCAGCGUUAUCCGGAUUUACUGGGUGUAAAGGGAGCGUAGACGGCAGCACAAGGCUGGAGUGAAAUGCCGGGGCUUAACCCCGGAACUGCUUUGGAAACUGUGCAGCUAGAGUGCAGGCGAGGUAAGUGGAAUUCGUGGUGUAGCGGUGAAAUGCGUAGAUAUUAGGAGGAACACCAGUGGCGAAGGCGGCUCUCUGGUCUGUAACUGACGCUGAGGUUCGAAAGCGUGGGUAGCAAACAGGAUUAGAUACCCGUGUAGUC